GAUGAACGCUGGCGGCGUGCCUAAUACAUGCAAGUCGAGCGAACAGACGAGGAGCUUGCUCCUCUGACGUUAGCGGCGGACGGGUGAGUAACACGUGGAUAACCUACCUAUAAGACUGGGAUAACUUCGGGAAACCGGAGCUAAUACCGGAUAAUAUAUUGAACCGCAUGGUUCAAUAGUGAAAGACGGUUUUGCUGUCACUUAUAGAUGGAUCCCCGCCGCAUUAGCUAGUUGGUAAGGUAACGGCUUACCAAGGCAACGAUGCGUAGCCGACCUGAGAGGGUGAUCGGCCACACUGGAACUGAGACACGGUCCAGACGCCUACGGGAGGCAGCAGUAGGGAAUCUUCCGCAAUGGGCGAAAGCCUGACGGAGCAACGCCGCGUGAGUGAUGAAGGUCUUCGGAUCGUAAAACUCUGUUAUUAGGGAAGAACAAAUGUGUAAGUAACUAUGCACGUCUUGACGGUACCUAAUCAGAAAGCCACGGCUAACUACGUG
rnacentral:rRNA from 1 species